AUAAUAAUAAUAAUAAUAAUAAGAUUCUACAAAUAACAUGAAAUACUAUAACUAAACUCAUGCAACUAGCAAGUAUAGUUGCUAGCUAGGCCAAAAUGGUGAAUGAUGUGAAAAGAAAAGUUUUCUUUCCGUGCCCCAACUCCCUUUCCUCUUGACAAAUCAAAUUAAUAAUCUCAACUUCCAUUCUAAAAUUGAAUAAUUUCUUGUUUUCAUUAUCUUUUCAUUUCUAUUAAACUCUAGCCUAUCACUUUUAAUGUAGCCAUUGACACUUACAUUUUGACAAGUAACUCAUAACUAUCAUGGAGCUAGCGUCCAAGAAUUCAAGAGCUACCGAUUUCUUCUCUCAUUUGCAAAUUUAAUUUGAAACUUUGAAAGUUCACCUAAUUAAAUUUACGCAAAAUUUAAAAUAAAACAGUUCACAAUUUUACAUGUUUUAUUCUUUUAUAAUUAAAAAAUUAAUAAAUUACUCAACUACUAUAAUUUAAUGACGUUAAAAUUAAAUUAUGAUUUUUCUUAUUUAAAUUCGAUUUAUCAUAAACUCAAAAUACAAUAUAUAUAAUGGACCUAUAAUGAACUAAAUUUAAACAAGAUGUAUAGUGCGAUUUACUUAUUAAAUAAGUGAGUUCUACAUAUUUAGCAAAGAAAAUGAAUCGAGUUUAACUCUAUUCCCAAAAGAGAAGUUUGCUCAAGUCUUAUAUUUAUCUCAAAUACUUUAUCUCAAACUAACGGUUGACAACAUAUUUUAUGUGUUGAAUUAAUAAAAUAAUCGAUUUGGGCAAAAAAACAAAUGGGAUGCUUUUUAGGAAUGAAAAUAAUUUAGUACUAAUGAAGUGAUUAGUGGAAAAUAAAAUGAAAAGAAGGAAAGAUUGGUAUGGUUGGUUUGUUCUGUGCAUGUAAAGUUCACCCACCCACCAAACUCUCUUUCGAUCAUAUUCCAAUUUUAAGAGGAACAGCAGUGAAGUACUUACUAAAUUUGCAAGCGCAUCUUGGCAUGACCUCUUCUGCACCAAAUUGUACCUACAAAUACUCAACACUUAAUUUAUAUACAAAUAUCGAUCAUUUAACUAUUGACAGAAUGAUUUACUGAUCAUUUAGUUAAAUAGUUAAAAACUGAAUAAUUUUCAAACCCCAUAUCCAUUUGAGUGAAAAAAAUAUAUGGUGGGUUGGGUUUUUAAGAGAGAGAAAUAUAUCCUGUGUUUG
rnacentral:misc_RNA from 1 species